GGGGCUGAUUCUGGAUUCGACGGGAUUUGCGAAACCCAAGGUGCAUGCCGAGGGGCGGUUGGCCUCGUAAAAAGCCGCAAAAAAUAGUCGCAAACGACGAAAACUACGCUUUAGCAGCUUAAUAACCUGCUUAGAGCCCUCUCUCCCUAGCCUCCGCUCUUAGGACGGGGAUCAAGAGAGGUCAAACCCAAAAGAGAUCGCGUGGAAGCCCUGCCUGGGGUUGAAGCGUUAAAACUUAAUCAGGCUAGUUUGUCAGUGGCGUGUCCGUCCGCAGCUGGUAAGCGAAUGUAAAGACUGACUAAGCAUGUAGUACCGAGGAUGUAGGAAUUUCGGACGCGGGUUCAACUCCCGCCAGCUCCACCA
rnacentral:tmRNA from 1 species